rnacentral:lncRNA from 10 species
CUCCAUUUUGCAGAGCCAAUUUCUCAUAAUCUGUACAUAUCCUAUUGGUUCUGUAUUUUUUAGAGAACAAAUACAGCCUAUUAUGUAUAUAUAAGACCCUGGGAAUGCAAAGAUGAACAAAAUUAACCUUCUGCUCUCAAUGAAUCUUGGAAGUCUCCAGAGGCAGACAAUUUCAAAACACCGUAUAUAGUCUUAAUAUGGAAUUAACAAUAGGGUAUUGUGAAUACACAAAAGUAGGAAGGACUCUGAUCUCUAGAAAACAAUUGUAUACUGUGAAUGAAAAAGACUAAUUCUCCACAGUCUAUACUCAAUCUCUCUUACCUUUCCAUAAUUUUCUUCAGCAAACUUAUUACCACCAAACAUAGUACAUGUUUAUUUAUUACCCAUCUCUCCCAACUAGAAAAUAAAUGUAUUACACUGGG